GUGCAGCAGGCGAGAAUUUUUCUCAAUGGGGGCAACCCUGAAGGAGCGACGCCGCGUGGAGGAUGAAGGCUUUCGGGUUGUAAACUCCUGUCAUUUGAGAACAAGUGCCAACAAGUAACUACUGUUGGCUUGAUAGUAUCAGAAGAGGAAGGGACGGCUAACUCUGUGCCAGCAGCCGCGGUAAUACAGAGGUCCCAAGCGUUGUUCGGAUUCAUUGGGCGUAAAGGGUGCGUAGGUGGCGUGGUAAGUCGGGUGUGAAAUUUCGGAGCUUAACUCCGAAACUGCAUUCGAUACUGCCGUGCUUGAGGACUGGAGAGGAGACUGGAAUUUACGGUGUAGCAGUGAAAUGCGUAGAGAUCGUAAGGAAGACCAGUGGCGAAGGCGGGUCUCUGGACAGUUCCUGACACUGAGGCACGAAGGCUAGGGGAGCAAACGGGAUUAGAUACCCGGGUAGU
rnacentral:rRNA from 1 species